ensembl:lncRNA
UCUAAAGAAUCAGUAUAUGUGACUCUAAUAUAUAGCGCAUGUUUCUGUAAUUGGCAUUUCUUUAAAAUGAAUGAGACAAAAAAGCACUUAAUUGCUUGAAGAAUGACCUGUUUAACCUUGUUUCAGAAAGCCUACACUAACGCAGCCUGCAUCCUGGGUCCUAUUCAUCUGGGAAAGAAGAGAGUUGUGAAGCUGUCGAGCACAUAGACAGUGAACACAGAGGGGAACAGGUCAAGGCCACAGCUAGGACAGAGGGAGAAAGAGGAGACUACAUUGGUUUCGAUGGGACUGUAUUCAGCUCUAUAUUAAGGCUGUGGGACUGAGCCGCUUUGGUGGAAAACAUUCAUUCCCGAGGGACCGACGUUACCAUGAUAUCCUACCUGGAACAAUGUGAUCGGCCACGGGGCUGCCUGGCUGCCACUCCGCCCCCGUCCAACCCUAGCCCUGGGAUUUCACCUCGUCCUUGAGAGACCAGCGCAAAUCAACCCAAAUAAAACAUCCCGACCCUGUUCACCUCUCCCGGAGGGUCGUUUUCCUUCGCGACACGUGGACGAAGCCGUACACAGCAUUAGGGACCGAAGAGACGCAGCCUCUAUAGAGGGACUCAGACAGGGUGGGAGGAGAUCCCAGCAGGUAAAAGGACCCACCGCAGGUCACGACCACAAACAGCAUAUCAGCUGGCUAUUUCUGAACAGGCCAUUGUGCCUGAUUUCUGUCCACACAGACACACACACAAACACACACACACACGUGUCCUUUACACCUGGUUGUACUGUAGGUCCUGCUUAACGCUGUUGUAGUGCCAAUGGGAAUUUACAGUACAUACAAAAUACAAAAAAAAAAUCAGGAAGGUUUAUGUGAGGGUUAUAUUUAGGGUUAGAGGAUUGUUUUUAUUUGCCAUUAUUUUUAUGACCUGACCCUGAAUAAAGGUCACGUCAGCACACA